rnacentral:lncRNA from 1 species
CUCACCUUGCGUCAUCCUCACUCUCCUCCUGGAUCUGUCUCUCGGUCGUGUCUGCCAAGGCGAUCUCGAGCUCCGCUUGGCCAAGUCUUCCCGGAGGACAGCAUUCCUUCUCAGUCAAAGGCUCGAGCACACAACGUUGGGCGCCAAAUGUCCCGUCCGGCAGGACAUAUCAACGUGGGCAGCGAACCUAGAUGGGGAGGAAAGAAGGGACAAGAGACACGAAAGGUGACAGCAAGACAGGUGUCUGAUCAAGCUGCAAACUUUUAUUGUUCACACAGGGGUAUUUAUAUGCUGGGGAUGGGGAAGCUCUCUAAUCAACAAUUGCUGGAUGUGGGUGGUAAAACUGCCAGGUGCAAGAUGUCUGAUGAUCCUGAUAACCACAGGAUGUUCCAGGGAGAUAGGUAGCUGCAGGAUGCCUCCCAGGCAGGAUGUCUCCCAGGGGGCUGUCAGGCUAAUCUUUGAAG